rnacentral:lncRNA from 1 species
ACAAAUUCAUUGGUCUUCAUCACCCAUUCAACGGUCAUGCCGGCUUGACUAGGGUGGCCAGUGUACACCCACGCACAAUCACCCAUACUUGCACUAACAGUAGGUACACCAAAUUUAUAUUAAUCAAGUUAUGUAAAAUGUAAUUGCGACAAGAUACACAAGUAAUUACUUUUGUCAUAUUAUUUACACCUUAGUUUUAUUUUUACCAUACAAAAGAGAAACAUGCAUUCAUGGGUUGAAUCCUAUCUCUAAUAGGUAAAGAUGGGUCCUAAUCUCACCCGAGUACGUGUAGAUUGGGUUCGUUUCCCGUGCUCUACUCCGGUCUGAGGCAAAAUUUCGGCAGCACCUCCCCGCUGUUCUCUAGAUACACGUCUCGGCAACAAGCCGAGAGAAUGUGUACCCGGAGAACAAUGGGGAGGCGCUGACAAAAUUUUGCCUCGGACCGAAGUAGAGCACGGGAAACGAAACCCAAUCUACACGUACUCCGGCUGUCCAUGGAUAACAUGGACAAUUCGAAAGGACGACGGUUAUAAAUAUGCAAAUACAUGCAUAUUUAUAAAUGCCACCCUUUCGAACGGGAGACUCCUAGGUUACGCGACUUAACAUGAAAGUAAAAUCUAGUGGCAUUGGCACGACGACCGGAACAGAGUAAAUAGGGGGAGUGGGGAUGACAGUCGAGCUCGCCCUUAGAUGAUCCGUAGAGGAGGUAGUAGACGGCGAUGGCGACGGCAACAGGACCAACAGUGCUCCUGGAGGUGAAAAGAUUGAUCCCUGCACAUCAAAGCACCGGCACAACCAACAUAAGUUCUCGGGGAAAAUUUGAACAGAAACAAAGAUGAACAAGUAUAAAGAAAGGAUGCAUCAAUCUUCUUCAUAUAAUUGGUUUACCUGCAGAUCUUAUGGACAAGCAUUUGAACAAAGGCAACACUCCUAAAAACAAAGAUAUACAGUAUCUACAUUUUAGUUACAAUAUGGAUCGGAUUUACCUAUAUUUAAUCCACAUCAUUAUUGUAAAUGUACUACGACAGUAAGCAUGAAAUCCUUGUGGCCAUUAAUUACUUUAUAUGGUAGGCAACAAUGUUACAGAUACAAUUUUCACUUGAACUUUUGACAUACUCCAUCCAUGCAGCCAUGCAUCCAUCCAUCUAGGGAAGAGAGGGGUAGGUAGGAGAAGGAAUGCUCACCGUGGGGGCAGAUGGGGCAGAGGGGGAGAUGGUGUCCGACGGCCGUGCUGCUGCCUCUCCUUUGUAGUCCAGCAGCAGCGGAGGUGGUGCACUGCUGCGGUGGUGCCCUGCGGCGGCGGCGGCGGCAGAGGUGGUGCCCGGCAGCGGUGGUGCCGGCGCGGCGGCGCUAGGGCACGGGAGGAGAUUCCGGUGACGGUGUGGCCAUUGGAGGAGGGGUUGGGGGCGCGGUGUAGCAGGGGGCGGAGGCGGCGCUGGAGAACGGCGGCGGCGCUGGAACCCUAGCGGCGCUCUCUGUUCUGGUGGUGCGGGUCGAGGGGAGGGGCUGGCGCUGCG